rnacentral:rRNA from 1 species
UACGUAGGUGACCAGCGUUGUCCGGAUUUACUGGGCGUAAAGAGCGCGCAGGCGGUCGUUCAAGUCGAGUGUGAAAGCCCCCGGCUCAACUGGGGAGGGUCACUUGAUACUGAUCGACUCGAAGGCAGGAGAGGGAAGCGGAAUUCCCGGUGUAGUGGUGAAAUGCGUAGAUAUCGGGAGGAACACCAGUGGCGAAGGCGGCUUCCUGGCCUGUUCUUGACGCUGAGGCGCGAAAGCAUGGGGAGCGAACAGG